UUGCGCCAUAACGUUGCUAUGCUGUUGCCUCUGCUGCAGCGAGCGAGCCUUGACGACGGACUCUGCAGUCCGCUGAGAAGUCAGAGACCGAAUAAUCCAAUCCCCCCCAACAUUUAUGUCGCUCAUACCAUCGCAUUUACAAAUCAAAGGAAUUGUAAAUAUCAUUCACUCGGUCUGAAAUUACUGCUGGUUAGCUGUAGCCAAUGGUUGCUGUGUCUUGCGUGUGGAUUAUUCGUUGCCGAGCUAGUCCGAGAUUCGACCCAGGAGGGCCCGCAUUUGAAUGUGUAUGAAGCUGAAGGCUCGGUGAUAAAGAUGAGGUUUUGUCGGAGUUCGCAGCGGGUGAACUGAACUUGGAUUUUCAGUCCCUCACCCUAAACUAAUUUCCCGCUAUAAGAAAACCAUAUUACUUAAAAACUGGACCCCCCUGGAACUGUUUAUGACGACCCUGGUUGGACCGUAAUGACCGCACGCUUCCGGUUGCCUGCUGGCAGAUCUUACAAUGUCCGGGCGUCGGAGCUGGCACGCGACAGCCAGCACACGGAGGUGGUCUGCAACAUACUUCUCUUGGACAACACCGUCCAAUCCUUCAAAGUUAACAAACACGACCAGGGUCAUGUCUUACUGGAUGUAGUGUUUAAGCACCUGGAGCUGACAGAAAGGGACUACUUCGGCCUGCAUCUGGCCGACGACUCCUCAGACAGCCCGGUAGGUGCCAAGAGGUGGUUGGAUCCAAACAAACCCAUAAGGAAGCAGUUAAAAAGGGGAUCGCCUUAUAAUCUGAGCUUCAGAGUGAAGUUCUUUGUGACAGACCCAAAUAAACUUCAGGAAGAGUAUACUAGGUACCAGUAUUUCCUCCAGCUCAAACAGGACAUCCUGACAGGAAGACUGCCCUGCCCGCACAACACUGCCGCGCUCCUGGCGUCCUACUCUGUUCAAUCUGAGCUGGGGGACUACAGUGAUUCGGAGCAUGCUCCUGGUUACCUCUCACAGUUCUGCUUCAUCCCCAACCCACCCCAAGGCUUCGACAAGGAGGUUACCAAACACCACCAACAGCACAGUGGCCUGUCUCCGGCCCAGUCAGAGUUUAAUUACCUGAACACAGCAAGGACACUGGAGCUGUACGGAGUGGAAUUGCACUAUGCAAGGGAUCAAAGCAACACUGAGAUUUUAAUUGGGGUGAUGUCCACAGGGAUCGUGGUUUACAAGAACAGGGUACGAAUCAACUGCUUUCCCUGGUUGAAGAUUGUGAAAAUAUCGUUCAAGUGCAAACAGUUUUUCGUUCAGCUCAGGAGAGAAGUGAAUGAGACCAGGGAGACGUUGCUGGGGUUUAACAUGGUAAACUACAGAGCCUGUAAGAACUUAUGGAAGACCUGUGUAGAACACCACACCUUCUUCCGUCUGGACCGGCCCGUUCCCCCCCAGAAGAACUUCUUUGCCCACUACUUUACCCUGGGCUCCAAGUUCCGUUACUGCGGGAGGACAGAGGUGCAGUCGGUGCAGUAUGGCAAAGAGAAGGGGAUCAAGGACCGGGUGUUCGCCAGGUCUCCCAGUAAGCCCCUGGCCAGGAAGUUGAUGGGCGGCACAGACUGGGAGGCUGUGAGCCGGAACAGCUUAUCAGACGAGAGGCUGGAGACCCAGAGCCUGCCCACACGCUCCCCACCCGGAACCCCUAACCACCGGAACUCGUUUGUACAGGAAGGGACGAGGAUGCGGCCGUCGUCGGUUGGGCACCUGGUGGACCAUGUGAUUCACGCCUCGCCCAGCCUCCCUGUCUUCUCCAAUCACAAAUCCGCGUCCUCUACCCAGGCCAACUCCAUCAGCCUCGACUCUUCCCCAUCCCCAGAGACAGUAGAUGGUCAGCCCCCGGCCCUGCCUCCCAAACAGUCCAGGAAGAACCUGAGCCAGAUCAUCCAGGACCACUCCCAGCAGAGUCUCCUUGACAACCACAUCAAUGAGAUGUAUGACAUCCCCAUGGCAUCCGACAAAUCCACGCUGAACGGUGUUGUCUCUCACGACAAUCUGGUUUUGCUCAAGAUGAGGCCGGAUGACACUGGACGAUUUGGCUUCAAUGUCAAGGGUGGAGCUGAUCAGAAGAUGCCUGUCAUUGUAUCUCGUGUGGCCCCUGGGACAUCCGCUGACCUGUGUGUCCCUCGUUUGAACGAAGGUGACCAGGUGGUUUUGAUCAACGGUCGUGAUAUCUCAGAGCACACCCACGACCAGGUGGUCAUGUUCAUCAAGGCCAGUUGUGAGAGCCACUCAGGAGAGCUCAUCCUAUUGGUCAGGCCCAAUGCCAUCUAUGAUGUGGUGGAGGAGAAGCAGGAGACUGAGCCAGACUUUCAGUACAUCCCAGAGAAGUCUCCCCAGGACCCCUCUCAGCUGGACCAGGAUGCCUGGAGGGAUUCCAUUAACACCCUGAAGGAGGGUCUGAUCAGCGGGGGAGUACUCACCCAGUUUGAUCAACUUUACCGGAAGAGGCCUGGAAUGACAAUGUUGUGUGCCAAAUUACCUCAGAACAUUUCCAAAAACCGCUACAGAGACAUCUCACCUUACGACGCAACGCGGGUCAUUCUGAAAAACACAGAUGACUACAUUAAUGCAAAUUAUAUCAACAUGGAGAUCCCGGCGUCGAGCCUGAUCAACCGGUACAUUGCGUGCCAGGGCCCGUUGCCCAACACUUGCCCAGACUUCUGGCAGAUGACCUGGGAGCAGGGCUCCUCCGUGGUGGUCAUGCUCACCACUCAGGUGGAGAGGGGACGGGUGAAGUGUCAUCAGUACUGGCCCAACACUGACAGCACUGCUACGUACGGCCACUUCCAGGUGGCCUGUCUCACUGAGGAGGGCAACUCUGCUUUCCUGGUCCGAGACAUGACCCUUACACACUUCGAGAGCGAGGAGGUCCGGGAGUUGACCCAGAUCCAGUAUGUGGCCUGGCCGGACCACGGCGUCCCAGACGACUCAUCAGACUUCCUGGACUUUGUCAACCUGGUGCGGAGCAAACGAACCGGCAAAGAUGAGCCCAUGGUGGUCCACUGCAGCGCGGGAUUGGCCGAACAGGAGUUCUCAUCACCAUGGAAACAGCGUUGUGCCUGAUGGAGUGCAGUCAGCCCGUCUAUCCAUUAGACAUAGUCAGAACCAUGAGAGACCAGAGAGCCAUGAUGAUUCAGACACCUAGCCAGUACAAGUUUGUGUGUGAAGCCAUCUUGAGGGUCUAUGAGGAAGGCAUGGUCAAACCCCUGAAGUCCAACCUAUACCAGAGAGAAGUAGAAGAAAAUGGAGAAGAGGAAGAUGAAGAUGUUAGCAUUAGCAUUAGCGCUAGUGUGACCAGUGUGACAAGUGAGACCAGCGUGACCAGCGAAUGCCCUGAAACCUAACCUCUAAUCCCUUGGACCUGACCUGGGUUUGUAGUGAGAUGCCCAGCACCAUGGAGGAAGAGCCCUGGCUACCAUGGGUACUGCCGUGGGCCAAGGAGAGAACAAAGCACUGUUGCACUUUAUGCCGACAAAAAACUGAAAAUCAUUGACAAAUGAAUCCAUUUAUGUUAUGUAGACGGACAUGCCUUUUCUUCAAUGUCCCUUCGGCCGAUCGAGAGACACCGUAUCUUUUUCAAGUAGUAUUUAUUGUGUUUUAGUUUGUCAAACCCUGUCCACUGAACAAACGUUACUGCGAGUCCUAGCUUCAUGCUUCCCAAAUGAAAUCAUAGGUAGUAAAAAGUAGUGAGGAUUUUACUUUAUAGUGAGUGGUUUUUAUUUAUUAUAUUCUUUGCUUUUCUUGUCAAGUUAUGACAAUAGACACACAUCGGAGCACUUUGUCUAACCCUAGCUAACCGUGUGGCUGUCGUGUCACUAUGCCUUGGUUUUUGCAUAGAACGAACGAGUCAUUGACUGACGUUGAUUGGCAUGUUAAAUUGUCCAAUUUGGCAGGGUGUGGAUCUACUCUAAGCUACAGUAUUUCAUAGAAUCCCCAGUCACAACAUGGCAAAUAAAGCUAUCAAAUGGGAGACCUUAAAACAACCUUUUUAAGUUACAUUUCUCGCUGUCUUUGUGUGUCUGUCGAGAUUUUAAGCCAACAAUACUAAGAUCAUUCAAAUAUUCGUAAUUAUAUACCCCCACAUUUAAAAAUAUAUAUUUAAAUGGUACUUAGAGGCUUUAAGGCACGUUCUUUUUAUUGGAAAUGAUAAUCACUUAAGGGUGUUUUAGGUGCACAUUGCUGGGCAUUUGUUGUAGCCAACACAGUUAUAACAUGUUUUGUAAAAAAAAAAAUCAGGGUGCACGAGGUGUCCUUUUCAAACUGGUUCAACUGUAUUGUCAUUUUCAGCAGUUCUUGUAUUGGAGUUAUCAGCUUCUUUAUAGUUUUAGCUACUCUUCUCAUGGAAGAGGCUGUUUCUUGCUUUGUUUCAUUGGUUGCUGCCAUCUUGGCACUGCAGGUAGUGGCACCUUCUCCGAUGCACUAUUCUGCACAACCAUGUGUAUGUUUAGAGUGGAUGUGUGUGGGACCGUCAGUGUAGUUAUGUGGUGUGUCUCUGUGACUCAGCAAUUUUUCUUGUGUGUGUAUAUUAUGUCCUGUCUCUGGUGCUGCUGUGGCUCUGUCUCAUGGCGUCAUGCCGUGUAACCAUUUGCUAACCCCUUGCCAUUUCACCAUAACCUGGCUGACACUCAUUACUAACUCAAUGUUAGAUGUCUGGGGUGAAGCCUGCUUGUAAACUUAUUUGCCAUAGUUUUUUCCAUCUUCUUGACCUGAGGUGACUGUGUGAUGCAUCUAUAGCAAUUACAUUGGAAAUAAAUACAUUAUGACCACGCUGUGAGAAGCCCAUGAAGUAAAUUGCUCCCUUUCACCUGGCUUGCACACAGUCCCCAAUGGUCGAUCAUCAACCCACUGUGUGGAAUCCACAAAACUGUCAUUUUGAUUAUUUUAAUUUUAUGAAAUCAUACAUGGAAUCCGGCUCAUUCUGUUAUGCCUGAGAAUAUUAUGAUGACGGAUCAUAGGAGCAAGACUACAGAAUGCCACAUUUUCACAAAUAUCCAGAAUUGAGCUUUGUUCAAAGUGUUAUGAUAGCGUAUCAGGGUACUGUGGGGUGCUGUUUGGAGGCAGGAGGGGAGGGAAGCAGGGUGGGGUAGGUAUGGGAGGGUGGCCGUGUUGUAGUUUUGUGAAAGAAACGGUUCAUGCUUCUUGAGAAUAGACAGCACUUUGCAGAUGACUGGGUAGCCAUGCCUGCUACUGAAUAUGUCAGAAACAUAAAAUGGUGUUUACUUUUUAUUUAUCAUUUUAUUUGUUUUUAGACACCUGUAGGGAACAAAAACUCAAACCUACAGUGAUGCUUAUUUUUUUUUGUAAAUAUACUCGACCAUGUAAAUACAAUGUUGUAUAUUUAAAAAAAAUCUUUAAAAUAAAAGGGAAAACCAUUUGUGAGUUAAAAUGUUUUUAUAUAGAGAAUGACAUGUGACAACUUGUGUUUAAAAAUAGAAGAAAAAUUGAAAGCUUACAUUUCUUUCAACUCUCACUCCAUUAAGUUGAUUUUACUUCUGUUUCAAACACUUGUUUUCAGUUGCUCUGUGCAUUGUGCUUUGUUUUUUCUUUCUGAUAUUGUCAUUUGACAGUGCUUUGAAUAUGUUUAUAAGAUUUAUUAAAAACGAUUAAAACUUG